rnacentral:misc_RNA from 1 species
CUGACCUUGUCGCACGUCGUCUUCUACGUAUUGUGCAUUGACAUGGUCACCGCCAUGCCAAGAAGCGCCGCAAGAAGGACGCCCGGGCCACACUUGACCUUGAGCGAGUCUGCCAGACCGGUGGUGAUCCUAGCGCUGGUCCCAGCAGCGCUGCGGCACCUGUCGCAGCAACCGCCAGCGCCACGUCAAGACCGAUGGGUGUGUCCUCCAUCGCCUUCGCCAGAGCGGGUUGCAGAGCGGUUGCGUGAGUCUGAGACCCAGCAGCCGCUCCGUCCGAUGCGGUACUGCCCCCUCCAUGGAUGGGGACGUGUCCUGCUCGCCAACCGCGGGUUCCUCCAACGGAUGCAGACACUUCUGCCCCCGUUGUUCGAUCAAGCGGACUGCUCGUUCAAGUCGCCUCUCCAGCGUGCCCUCGUGCCCGGACACGACUGA